UAAUAAAUAAUAAUAAUAAUAAUAAUAAUAAUAAUAAGUUCCUGCAGCACUGAAAACAGACACCCAGACUCUACCCCUUCUUCCCUAGAGCCUGCCUAUCAUUUUGAUAAAACUGCCACAGACCUUUCAAAAUAGCUGUCUUUGAAAUUUUGAAAAAAAAUCUAUAAGCAAAGGCUUGUAAUUGUUGGUGCCCAGGUACAGUUAGAGUACUUUGAUUAGAUAGUCAUCGACACUAAAUAAUUUCAAUAAAAACUUUGUCUUACUUUUAAAUAAUACAUGAAACCACAAAAUGAGAUCUUUUUACUACAUUGGUCUCUGUUAUAAGUGAUGCCGUUUUAUAUUACACGCUCAUUCGUGGAUUCUACUGUUGAGUGUCGCUGAUGUCAAAACGAAUCACAUCCUUGGUCAACGGAAUGGACUUUUUAAAGGUUUGUUGAAAAAAAACAUCUUCUUGGCUUAUACAGUAUAAGCAAGAGUCCGCCUGUUUUUCCUGGUACACAUAAAACAAGAACCAAAAUAUUUGCAGAACAAUAAAACAGGGACCAGAAAUAACAGCAAGAAGGUUCACACAGUGGAUUUUAGCUCUGCGUAGCACAGGAGUAAGCACGUUAUGGAUCUUUUGCAAUGGCAGAUCAUCAUACCCAAAUGCAUGACUGAAGCAGUACUGUAGAUAAUCUGUUAAGUUUACAUGUAGCCAUCCCAUUCAUUAAAACAGUGCCGACAAAGAGUAGGCUUGUGGAGCUCGGAGGCAGGAUUUUGUUGUCCAUUUUUCUCCACUCAGAUGCCUUUGUUUCUUGGCAUCCCUAGAUAACCAUCUUGAAAAAGAUUGUCAUAAGUGUAGCGACCUCGUGAUGGUAUGUGUCACAGUGUCACAGGACUAUUUUAAUUGUGUAAUAAUAUGUUGAAAUCAGGUUGUAUUAUUUAUUCCUUUUACGGUAACAUUCCAUUUGUAUUGGAACACAAUAAACAUUUUUGGAACACAUUCAUUUUACUGUUUUCUCUGGCUAUGCAACAUUUGUCAAGUGUUAGUGCUUUUAAUAAGAGCUGCCUCUUCUUUUUUUCAGAAUCCUUACUGACAAAUGACAUUCACCAUACUGGAGAGAGGGUGUUAAACCUUUGAGUUGUGGAACUAGUGGCUUUGCAUUUGCAGCUGUGGAGGACGUUUCAUGUCACUCAUAUACUUAUUACAGAAUUCCUUCUGCAGUCUACCCUGUAUCCUACAAACAGAGGAUGAGUGUACCUAAGAGAGAAGCUCCCAGUCCUCCUAUGAGAUACUGAGACCCACCAAAGUAACUGGAAUGUGAAGGGCAAUGCAUGGAGAGAACAGUGCUGUAAAUGAAUGUAAUUAAUGCCCUUGCAGUUCGGAUUCACAAGCCACAGUGUUUAAAGUGUUUAUUGGUAGGUUUUGAUAACCCUUGUUUAUUUUGAGCUAGUCUUUCUGAUCCUUGUGAGGUUUUACUGUAUCAACAAAAUACCAUCCUAAACAUGGGUGGAUCUAGGUGUUGUUUUAUUAACAUCCUGCAUUUGUUCUUCUGCAGGAAAUUACUACUCAAGAAAUUUGAUGAACUGAAACCCCAAAAAAGGAAACAGUGCCACAACCACAAUCCUAAAGAUAUUAACUGUGCUGGAAAAGAUAAACAAAAAUACAAUUUAGCCUUGGGGUUAGGCUUCAGGGGUCAGGCCUGCACUUCUGUUUGUCCAUUUAAGGAAUUACUUUAUAGAAAAAAAUAUCUUAAAACAGGGUCGGUUUACAUCGUUUUGGUCUCUUCAGUGUUAUUUUUCCCAGUUGCCAUAGUGAUGGAACAUUUUGGUUUUUUUCAACUGAAACUUGCUCCAUUUUAUACACAACAGAAAUCAAAAGCUGUAAUGUAUCGUGACAUAUCCUAAGACAGCAAAUAAUAAUAAUAAUAAUAAUAAUAAUUCAGAAGCAAGUUGACCUGUGAAAGUUUUGAAAACCCCUGCUACUUAUCCAAGUUGCCAUAGCAAUUUAUUUUGUACUUCCUCUUUCUGGUAAGACACCAUCUCCAUAUUUACUAGAAGCCUUCCUUUAGCUUGACUUGUAAAUGAAGCAAUUUACUGUCCAGUCUGGUUGUGUUUGUUGGAUUCGGGUGUAAUUGACUGUUUAUUCACCGUGUGGAGGGGUUGCGGCUGGCAGAGUUUAAAUGGAAUGAGGAAGGCUGGUCAGUCCCAUCCCUUAGGAUUCUCCAGACAAGCUUGAAGCCAGGUAUAGGCAAAUUUGUAGAAAAAUUAAAAGAACUCAAAAUUAGAGGAAAAAAAAACAACAGAUUGAUUACAAGCACUGUAGAAAAAGGGCAAAAAUUACAUUUAAAGUUGUUUACCAUUUAAGAAGAUCGUUACCUUAAGCCAAUAUUGACAACAUCAGCAGUAUUAAACCACCAAGGAAUUAUAUUUUUGUGCAAACACUAAUUUUUAUUAUUUAUAUAUUAAAAAAAAAAUUUAAAAGACCUUACACUCAAUUCAUUUUCAUUUUUUUACAUUUUUACAUUUCAUUUUUAUAUUUUUGCACCAAACAUUUUGAGAAAUGACACGUUAAAAGAGAAAAAAAAAAAAAAAAAACAAACAAAAAACACUGCUAAAGAUUCAAUGCAGGCUUCACUGAGUUACAAAUUGAAGUCAUUUUUUUUUUUUUUUUUU